AAAACCCUAGUAGUCAAAUCGAUCAAAUCCACGCGAAAUUCAACCUCACCGGAACCAAUUUCUUCAACCAGACUGGAACCCAAAAUACAAUACCUGUUCUUCAAGAGGAACCAACGACAAUUGGGGAUUAGGGUUCAUAAAUCUCUCCAUCCUGUGAUCAAAUUCCCAACAUCAUCACGUCAUUAGCAACUUCUUUGAUUGAGAAAUUGAAUUUGGAGAGAGGGUUCAUGAAGUGAUGAGGUGCUGUUGGUAUGGUUGUUUAGACGAGGAACCGAGGUUUGGAGCUGUGUACUCGAAUGUUAAACUGUUUUGUUGGUGUUGCAGUGGAGAUGGGUUCGGUUGAAGUUGCACGUAAGGUGUUUGAUGAAAUGUGUGAGAGGUGCGACUCCGGAUUCUUCUACUUUCAAGAUUUUGAUCACCUGCCAUUGCAAAGAGUUAAUGAAGUUUCACUAGUUGAUCAGUGGGCCUAGGCUCGCACCUGAGUGAGCCUUGACAUCUAUACAUUGUGUUUGUUUGUUUUUAUAUUAAAAAAGACAGACUCAAUGUCUGUUCAACAAAUAGGUUUAUUCUCAAUUUCCAAGUUAUCUGAUCUUAAUAAUGGCUUUCAUGAGUUGCUGUAGAUUUUUCAUUGAGAUUAGUAUUGAUUUUCUUUAU
rnacentral:lncRNA from 1 species